rnacentral:rRNA from 1 species
UAAGGUGGCUAUAGCAACGGGGCUCACCUCUUCCCAUUCCGAACAGAGAAGUUAAGCCCGUUAGCGCCGAUGGUACUGCUAUCAUUUUGGGAGAGUAGGUCGCCGCCUUCC